rnacentral:rRNA from 1 species
UUACGCCUACGGGGGGCAGCAGUGGGGGAUAUUGGACAAUGGGGGAAACCCUGAUCCAGCGACGCCGCGUGAGUGAAGAAGUAUUUCGGUAUGUAAAGCUCUAUCAGCAGGGAAGAUAAUGACGGUACCUGACUAAGAAGCCCCGGCUAACUACGUGCCAGCAGCCGCGGUAAUACGUAGGGGGCAAGCGUUAUCCGGAUUUACUGGGUGUAAAGGGUGCGUAGGUGGCAGGGCAAGUAAGAUGCGAA